rnacentral:rRNA from 1 species
GGGUUGUGAGGUUAAGCGACUAAGCGUACACGGUGGAUGCCCUGGCAGUCAGAGGCGAUGAAGGACGUGCUAAUCUGCGAUAAGCGUCGGUAAGGUGAUAUGAACCGUUAUAACCGGCGAUUUCCGAAUGGGGAAACCCAGUGUGUUUCGACACACUAUCAUUAACUGAAUCCAUAGGUUAAUGAGGCGAACCGGGGGAACUGAAACAUCUAAGUACCCCGAGGAAAAGAAAUCAACCGAGAUUCCCCCAGUAGCGGCGAGCGAACGGGGAGCAGCCCAGAGCCUGAAUCAGUGUGUGUGUUAGUGGAAGCGUCUGGAAAGGCGCGCGAUACAGGGUGACAGCCCCGUACACAAAAAUGCACAUACUGUGAGCUCGAUGAGUAGGGCGGGACACGUGGUAUCCUGUCUGAAUAUGGGGGGACCAUCCUCCAAGGCUAAAUACUCCUGACUGACCGAUAGUGAACCAGUACCGUGAGGGAAAGGCGAAAAGAACCCCGGCGAGGGGAGUGAAAAAGAACCUGAAACCGUGUACGUACAAGCAGUGGGAGCACGCUUAGGCGUGUGACUGCGUACCUUUUGUAUAAUGGGUCAGCGACUUAUAUUCUGUAGCAAGGUUAACCGAAUAGGGGAGCCGAAGGGAAACCGAGUCUUAACUGGGCGUUAAGUUGCAGGGUAUAGACCCGAAACCCGGUGAUCUAGCCAUGGGCAGGUUGAAGGUUGGGUAACACUAACUGGAGGACCGAACCGACUAAUGUUGAAAAAUUAGCGGAUGACUUGUGGCUGGGGGUGAAAGGCCAAUCAAACCGGGAGAUAGCUGGUUCUCCCCGAAAGCUAUUUAGGUAGCGCCUCGUGAAUUCAUCUCCGGGGGUAGAGCACUGUUUCGGCAAGGGGGUCAUCCCGACUUACCAACCCGAUGCAAACUGCGAAUACCGGAGAAUGUUAUCACGGGAGACACACGGCGGGUGCUAACGUCCGUCGUGAAGAGGGAAACAACCCAGACCGCCAGCUAAGGUCCCAAAGUCAUGGUUAAGUGGGAAACGAUGUGGGAAGGCCCAGACAGCCAGGAUGUUGGCUUAGAAGCAGCCAUCAUUUAAAGAAAGCGUAAUAGCUCACUGGUCGAGUCGGCCUGCGCGGAAGAUGUAACGGGGCUAAACCAUGCACCGAAGCUGCGGCAGCGACGCUGAUGCGUUGUUGGGUAGGGGAGCGUUCUGUAAGCCUGUGAAGGUGUGCUGUGAGGCAUGCUGGAGGUAUCAGAAGUGCGAAUGCUGACAUAAGUAA